rnacentral:rRNA from 1 species
CCUACGGGUGGCAGCAGUCGAGAAUCAUUCACAAUGGGGGAAACCCUGAUGGUGCGACGCCGCGUGGGGGAAUGAAGGUCUUCGGAUUGUAAACCCCUGUCAUGUGGGAGCAAAUUAAAAUGAUCGUACCACAAGAGGAAGAGACUGCUAACUCUGUGCCAGCAGCCGCGGUAAUACAGAGGUCUCAAGCGUUGUUCGGAAUCACUGGGCGUAAAGCGUGCGUAGGCUGUUUCGUAAGUCGGGUGUGAAAGGCGCGGGCUCAACCCGCGGACGGCACAUGAUACUGGGAGGCUAGAGUAAUGGAGGGGGAGCCGGAAUUCUCGGUGUAGCAGUGAAAUGCGUAGAUAUCGGGAGGAACACUCGUGGCGAAGGCGGGUUACUGGACAAUAACUGACGCUGAGGCACGAAGGCCAGGGGAGCGAAAGGGAUUAGAUACCCUGGUAGUC